ensembl:snRNA U6 U6 spliceosomal RNA
UUGCUUGCUUUGGCAGCACAUGUACUAAAAUUGAAAUGGUCCUGAGAAGAUUGCUAUGGCCCCUGUGCAAGGAUGACAUGCAAGGUGGUGAAGUCUCAAAUUUGUUU